ACAAGUAUGUCGAAAUUGGUAGCCGAAUGAAAUUUAGGAAUUCAACCUUAAGAGUUCAAGUCUCUUUACUUGUA
rnacentral:tRNA from 1 species